rnacentral:rRNA from 1 species
ACGUAGGGGGCAAGCGUUAUCCGGAUUUACUGGGUGUAAAGGGAGCGUAGACGGCGCAGCAAGUCUGAUGUGAAAGGCAGGGGCUUAACCCCUGGACUGCAUUGGAAACUGUUGUGCUUGAGUGCCGGAGGGGUAAGCGGAAUUCCUAGUGUAGCGGUGAAAUGCGUAGAUAUUAGGAGGAACACCAGUGGCGAAGGCGGCUUACUGGACGGUAACUGACGUUGAGGCUCGAAAGCGUGGGGAGCAAACAG